GUUCUCAGUUGGUUAGAGUGUGGUGCUGUUAACACCAAGAUUGCAGGUUCGAUCCCCGUAUGGGACA